CAAUAGCGCAUAUUUAAGUUGUUGCAGUUAAAAAGCUCGUAGUUGGAUUUCGGGUGGGACGCAGCGGUCUCGCAUUGCGUUUGUACUGCUGCAGCCCUCCUUCUUGCCGGGGGCGGCCUCUCGGACUUCACUGUCUGGGGGUCAGAAUCGGCGAUGUUACUUUGAGUAAAUUAGAGUGUUCAAAGCAAGCUUACGCUCUGAAUAUAAUAGCAUGGGAUAACACGACAGGACUCUGGCCUAUCGUGUUGGUCUAUAGGACCAGAGUAAUGAUUAAGAGGGACAGUCGGGGGCAUUCGUAUUCCGUUGUCAGAGGUGAAAUUCUUGGAUUUACGGAAGACGAACAUCUGCGAAAGCAUUUGCCAAGGAUGUUUUCAUUGA
rnacentral:rRNA from 1 species